GUUUGACAUUCUAUCAAAAGAAAAGAAAACAACAGCAGGGCUAUUUUCUGCUCAGACUGACAAGUCUCCCUGACAGGAACUCACCCUCUCCACCCACUGCUUCCUUGCCACUAGGAAGAAGGAAGUGGGGUGUGGUGGCAAUGUGUAGGCUGCCAGCAGUGUCUACCUCAGUCUGAAAUUUUUAUAUUUGACCUUGGCCAUUUUGGAACACAGUGCCAUCAGCAAAGACGAACCAUCCCAGAACCCCAGGUUGUUUGUUCUUUCAUUUAGUUGCCAGGAUUUGUACUAAGAGUUGGGGAAAUAAAGAUAAUACGAUUAUUCUUUAGAAGUUCAUAGGGGAAGGCUUUCAUGAAUAAAUAAUUAUAGCACAAUAAAGGCCUUGGAAGAAUUACUGUAAGCCUGGGAUAUUAUGAACUUACAGAUAAAGGGCACCUAAAACACCCCAAGGGAAGGGUGAGGGAGGAAAGUCUUCCUAGAGAGUGGGAGGGGUGGGGAUGGCAGCCCCUCUUCCUGCUGACAUGGGAGAUAGAAUCAGGCAAGAGUUAACAUGGAUCUUUCCAAUUCUGGUACAGAAUCCCACUCAGCUAUUGCAGCCCCCCAGCAGAGGCAGCAAUUAAACACAGUGUGGGGAAUUGCAGGCAAAAAGCACAGCGUGAGUGAUGGUACAGAGGUGAGGAAAGCAGGGGCACACACUGUGACUGUAAACUGCCCAUUUGGCUUCUGAAAGGAUAACAGGAAGGAAGGAGGGUUGGGGCAGGAAAAAUAAGAAACUCGACUGCAAGGUAAAACAGUUUCAAUUUUUUUCUGUGUGUGCAACAGGGAGCCCCUGAUUGUUCUUGAAGAGGAGAGUGCAAGAUGAGGGUGUGUUUCUGAGCAAUUCAUCUGGAAGUGGUGGGUGGAGAGGGUGAGUUCCCGUCGGGGAGACUUGUCAGUCUGAGCAGAAAAUGUUCAAGGUGAGAUAUGACUUUGGGGAUGGAGUGAAAGCGAGGAUGGAGAGAAAGGACUGGACUGAGUGACCCAUCAGAUAUGAAGGCAAGUGGCAGAGAUGAUUCAGGUGCUCCAAAUGCAAGGGUGGGUGUCAUUAAUAGACAUGAGAAAGGCAGGGGCAGGUGCUGGGUGGUGCCCCAUGGGGACUGUUGUGGGAGAUAAUGCCCAUCCAUGAUGGUGUGACCCAGUGGACCAAGUCAAUCAUGCAUUGUGCUGGGGUUUCAACAGAGAAGAGAUGACGUAUCUCAUGAUCUCCCUGUCCAGCCAUCACCACCCCCUCCUUAAAGCUGUUUGAAGGCUCCCCCUUGCUCCUAGAACAGAGACCAGUCUUUUGAAUUGCCCCAGAACUGGAGCAGGCUGGCCAUGCCUGCCUCUCAUGCCCCAGGCCCACCCUCCUCACCAUGCUCUGUGCUCCUGCCACACCAGUUUUCUUUCAGUUCCAUCCAUGGGCCAUGUUCACCACUGUAUCUCCAACACCAGCAAAUAGGUGUUGAAUAAACUGGUGGGGCUUCCACCACAGGGCCUUUGCACAUGCAUUCAUGUAUCCAUCUUUAACCAUUGUCCUUCCUCUCUUUGCCAACUUAGAGGCAACCUAUCCUUUUUUUUUUUUUUUGGAAACAGGGUCUCACUCUGUCACCCAGGCUGGAGUGCUGUGGCAUGAUCACAGCUCACUGCAGCCUUGACUUACUGGGCUCAGGUUAUCCUCUAGAGUAACUGAUACUACAGGUGUGCCACCAUGCCAGAUAGUUUUUGUAUUUUUUGUAGGGGUGGAGUUUUGCCAUGUUGCCCAGGCCGGUCUCGAACUCCUAGGCUCAAGUGAUCCACCCGCUUUGGCCUCCCAAAGUGCUGAGAAUACAGGCCUGAGCCACUAUGCCUGGCAAGGCUACUCAUCCUUUACAGCCCAGUUCAAGCAUCACUUUCCCAGGGGCACCUCUCUCGAUAUUCCUAAGUCCAGUUUACAUGCAUUAUAGUAACACAAAUCUUCCUUUUAUAGCAUGCACAGUAGUGUAAUUUUGCAUUGACUUGUGAGAAUAUUUGCUUGAGGCCCAUCUCCCCCACAGACCGUAACAUCUAUGGGCGUAGGGGUCACUGUUCUUUUUGUGCACCCCGCAUCCCCUAUAUUCAGCAUGGGAAUUGGAACUUUGCCGUGCUCACUGAAAUACUUGUGGAAUGGAUGAAUGAAUGAUGAAUUGGUGAAUAUUUCACUGGUGCUUCAGGAAAGUGCCAGAGAAGCAGGUUAUGCUUGAGAAGCACCUUAUAGGAUGAAUAGAAUUUCAACAGCCAGAGUUGGUCUUCAGGUAGCCAGUCUUCAACUAGCAAAAGCAAAGGGAAGGGCUUGAUCAGAGGGAGCUUCUGCAUGCUUAGGAAGAAAUAGGGAACUAGAAAUCUAGGGAAAUAAAGGGCUCCAAGGCCAGAAAGACAUAAGCCAAGUUUUGGAAGGAUUCAAAUGUCCAUGAGGACUUGGUUGUUAACUUGGCAGGCAAUGAAGAGCCAUGGAGAUUGAGUGAAGGAAAUGACACACUUGAAACUUAUCUUUGAGAAGAUGAACAUGACGAGGAAACUGAGGGUGACUAGAGAAAGGAGCUGGGAGCAGAAAACCACUGCCUUGGGAGGAUAUAGCAAUGGCUUUGGUGAAACUUAUAAAGCACAUGAAUGGGGGUUUUCUAGGUACGAGAUGGUCAGAGUGAAAUUUGGAUGGUGAGGUUAAAGAAAACUGGCAGCAGAUGAGGAAGUUCAAGAAAGAAAACCACUGGCGACCAGACCGUAAGCUCCUAGGACUUGUGUCUUUUUCAUCCUUAUACUCCCAGUAGAAAAAUAUGUUUUUCUUAGAAACUGUGGGAAAGAAAUUAAUUUAAGAGCUGAAAAUGUUCAGAGAGACCAUAAAAUGGAGAUACAAUUUGGCCCAAAGACCUAUUCUACGUGACUCAUUCAAUGUUUAGUUGGCAACAUUAAAAAUUGAGAUUUCUCAUAAAAGUGGCAUUGUUAAAUUUUAGAUUAAUUUUUAUUGAAAAAAUUUUGUUUCUGAUUGUUUUGGCAUUUGAAAAAGUGCUGUAUUUUUAAAGAUCUGCCCACAUUAGUCACCACAUCCCAUGUGGCACCCAUUGGUGGAGCUUAGGUGGCCCCUGUUCAGUGGUUUCCCAGUACUGGUCUUAUUCCCAGAGGGGUUCAUUCGCUAUUUUCCUGGGCUCUGAGGGCAGCUGAGUCAGGUCCCUGGCUAAAGAGAAGCUCAUCAGUUCCCAGCAGGCCACUUUUCAGUGUACCAUAAAACAUGAUACCUUUGUUACAUUAGUGAUCUGGGAGUAUCUGGAAUAGGCAGGUGGGGCGGGGGUUCUGUCCCAAAGCCUACACUCCCAGUGGAAGUCUGAUGAGAUACAUUGAUAGAGAGGCUCAUUAGUAUUUUACUAUAUUUUCUGCCAGCACUGGGUGUUGCAAAAUCACUGCCAUGGUGUAAAUAAUUAGAUAAGGGUGUAUGUGGAAUUCACAAAACUUUUAUUGAUCUGUUUAUCAUGCCAAAAAAAGUUGUUUAUUUAAAAUUCAAAUUCCACUU
rnacentral:lncRNA from 10 species